rnacentral:tRNA from 1 species
UAAUAAAGUAAGCUAAAAAAGCUAUUGGGCUCAUACCCCAAAUAUGAUUUAUAAUCCUUUAUUAA